GCUAAUCUGCGAUAAGCGCCGGUAAGGUGAUAUGAACCGUUAUAACCGGCGAUACCCGAAUGGGGAAACCCAGUGUGACUCGUCACACUAUCAUUAACUGAAUCCAUAGGUUAAUGAGGCGAACCGGGGGAACUGAAACAUCUAAGUACCCCGAGGAAAAGAAAUCAACCGAGAUUCCCCCAGUAGCGGCGAGCGAACGGGGAGGAGCCCAGAGCCUGAAUCAGCAUGUGUGUUAGUGGAAGCGUCUGGAAAGGCGCGCGAUACAGGGUGACAGCCCCGUACACAAAAGCGCAUGUGCUGUGAGCUCGAUGAGUAGGGCGGGACACGUGGUAUCCUGUCUGAAUAUGGGGGGACCAUCCUCCAAGGCUAAAUACUCCUGACUGACCGAUAGUGAACCAGUACCGUGAGGGAAAGGCGAAAAGAACCCCGGCGAGGGGAGUGAAAAAGAACCUGAAACCGUGUACGUACAAGCAGUGGGAGCACCCUUUGGGUGUGACUGCGUACCUUUUGUAUAAUGGGUCAGCGACUUAUAUUCUGUAGCAAGGUUAACCGAAUAGGGGAGCCGGAGGGAAACCGAGUCUUAACCGGGCGUUAAGUUGCAGGGUAUAGACCCGAAACCCGGUGAUCUAGCCAUGGGCAGGUUGAAGGUUGGGUAACACUAACUGGAGGACCGAACCGACUAAUGUUGAAAAAUUAGCGGAUGACCUGUGGCUGGGGGUGAAAGGCCAAUCAAACCGGGAGAUAGCUGGUUCUCCCCGAAAGCUAUUUAGGUAGCGCCUCGUGAAUUCAUCUCCGGGGGUAGAGCACUGUUUCGGCUAGGGGGCCAUCCCGGCUUACCAACCCGAUGCAAACUGCGAAUACCGGAGAAUGUUAUCACGGGAGACACACGGCGGGUGCUAACGUCCGUCGUGAAGAGGGAAACAACCCAGACCGCCAGCUAAGGUCCCAAAGUCAUGGUUAAGUGGGAAACGAUGUGGGAAGGCCCAGACAGCCAGGAUGUUGGCUUAGAAGCAGCCAUCAUUUAAAGAAAGCGUAAUAGCUCACUGGUCGAGUCGGCCUGCGCGGAAGAUGUAACGGGGCUAAACCAUGCACCGAAGCUGCGGCAGCGACACUGUGUGUUGUUGGGUAGGGGAGCGUUCUGUAAGCCUGUGAAGGUGUGUCGUGAGGCAUGCUGGAGGUAUCAGAAGUGCGAAUGCUGACAUAAGUAACGAUAAAGCGGGUGAAAAGCCCGCUCGCCGGAAGACCAAGGGUUCCUGUCCAACGUUAAUCGGGGCAGGGUGAGUCGACCCCUAAGGCGAGGCCGAAAGGCGUAGUCGAUGGGAAACGGGUUAAUAUUCCCGUACUUGGUGUUACUGCGAAGGGGGGACGGAGAAGGCUAUGUUGGCCGGGCGACGGUUGUCCCGGUUUAAGCGUGUAGGUGUGUGUUCCAGGUAAAUCCGGUUCACUUUAACACUGAGGCGUGACGACGAGGCACUACGGUGCUGAAGCAACAAAUGCCCUGCUUCCAGGAAAAGCCUCUAAGCAUCAGGUAACAUCAAAUCGUACCCCAAACCGACACAGGUGGUCAGGUAGAGAAUACCAAGGCGCUUGAGAGAACUCGGGUGAAGGAACUAGGCAAAAUGGUGCCGUAACUUCGGGAGAAGGCACGCUGACACGUAGGUGAAGUGAUUUACUCAUGGAGCUGAAGUCAGUCGAAGAUACCAGCUGGCUGCAACUGUUUAUUAAAAACACAGCACUGUGCAAACACGAAAGUGGACGUAUACGGUGUGACGCCUGCCCGGUGCCGGAAGGUUAAUUGAUGGGGUCAGCGCAAGCGAAGCUCCUGAUCGAAGCCCCGGUAAACGGCGGCCGUAACUAUAACGGUCCUAAGGUAGCGAAAUUCCUUGUCGGGUAAGUUCCGACCUGCACGAAUGGCGUAAUGAUGGCCAGGCUGUCUCCACCCGAGACUCAGUGAAAUUGAACUCGCUGUGAAGAUGCAGUGUACCCGCGGCAAGACGGAAAGACCCCGUGAACCUUUACUAUAGCUUGACACUGAACAUUGAGCCUUGAUGUGUAGGAUAGGUGGGAGGCUUUGAAGUGUGGACGCCAGUCUGCAUGGAGCCGACCUUGAAAUACCACCCUUUAAUGUUUGAUGUUCUAACGUGGACCCGUUACCCGGGUUGCGGACAGUGUCUGGUGGGUAGUUUGACUGGGGCGGUCUCCUCCUAAAGAGUAACGGAGGAGCACGAAGGUUGGCUAAUCCUGGUCGGACAUCAGGAGGUUAGUGCAAUGGCAUAAGCCAGCUUGACUGCGAGCGUGACGGCGCGAGCAGGUGCGAAAGCAGGUCAUAGUGAUCCGGUGGUUCUGAAUGGAAGGGCCAUCGCUCAACGGAUAAAAGGUACUCCGGGGAUAACAGGCUGAUACCGCCCAAGAGUUCAUAUCGACGGCGGUGUUUGGCACCUCGAUGUCGGCUCAUCACAUCCUGGGGCUGAAGUAGGUCCCAAGGGUAUGGCUGUUCGCCAUUUAAAGUGGUACGCGAGCUGGGUUUAGAACGUCGUGAGACAGUUCGGUCCCUAUCUGCCGUGGGCGCUGGAGAACUGAGGGGGGCUGCUCCUAGUACGAGAGGACCGGAGUGGACGCAUCACUGGUGUUCGGGUUGUCAUGCCAAUGGCACUGCCCGGUAGCUAAAUGCGGAAGAGAUAAGUGCUGAAAGCAUCUAAGCACGAAACUUGCCCCGAGAUGAGUUCUCCCUGAGACUUAAAGUCUCCUGAAGGAACGUUGAAGACGACGACGUUGAUAGGC
rnacentral:rRNA from 1 species